rnacentral:rRNA from 1 species
GGGAACCCUACAUGCUCUUUUUGUACAAGUGUGGAAACAGCGAACCACUUGUUCUUUACUUGCCCGCUUGCCCGCACGGUUUGGGGCGUGAUGGGGAUGACAGUUGGAUCCUCUUGCUGUCCUCGAUCGCUUUGGCAAAGUUGGGCUUGGCUAUAUAAGUUCUUUCCAGGAGGAAAGCAGUUCUAUAUGAUGAUUAUUGCUGCCAUAUGUUGGGGGAUUUGGAACCUCCGCAAUAAAGUUACUUUUGAUAAACAUGUUGAUCGCACUCCGCUGGAGGCUGUUUUCACUGCAUGUUCGUUUAUGUUAUAUUGGGCAGGUUUGCUUAAAGGAGAAGACAAGGUGAAGCUCCAGGCUAUUGGCUCACGCGGCUGCUACCCUGGCAGACAGAUCCUUCCCUCGUGGCAGACUCCUCUUAGGAGACAAUGA